rnacentral:rRNA from 1 species
AAGCAUAUCAAUAAGCGGAGGAAGAGAAACUAACCAGGAUUCCCCUAGUAACGGCGAGCGAACCGGGAGGAUAGAUUGAGCCCACUUUGUAAAUCUGAAAGAAUUGUAUUUUUUCCGAAUUGUAGUCUACACAGGUUGGUCUUUUUGGCAGAAGGAAUGUUGUCCAAGUGCCUUGGAAGAGGCCGCGCGACAGGGUGAGAGCCCCGUUGGACGAGAUCUUCAGUCAGAUGCACAGACCACUCUCCUGUUCGAGUCGGGUUGUUUGGGAAUGCAGCCCUAAUGUGUCGGUGGUAAAUCCCAUCGAAGGCUAAAUACUGGCGGGAGACCGAUAGCGAACAAGUACCGUGAGGGAAAGAUGAAAAGAACUUUGAAAAGAGAGUCAAAAGUGCUUGAAAUUGUUGAGAGGGAAGCGAUUGUGUAGAGGUGAGUUUUGAGUGGUGCAGAGAUUUGGGGUUGGUUGCAGGAUUCAUUUCUGUGCCUCCCCAACCCUGCUGCACCCCCGGUCAGCAUCGGUUUCUGGAGGGGUAGAAACGCCAGGAUUACCUGGUUUGGAUUGAAUUUGAUUUUUCAGCUUCAGUCCAACGCCUGGCUCAUGCCUCUCUGUUCUUGAGACCGAGGAACUUUCAGUACGGUGCCCCAGAAGAAUUCAUUCUUCCGCACCGGUUGAUGGAUGCUGGCUGACGCCGCUCAAUCGGCCCGUCUUGAAACACGGACC